UACGUAGGGUCCAAGCGUUAUCCGGAUUUACUGGGCGUAAAGCGUCUGUAGGCGGCCAACCAAGUUGGGUGCGAAAUUUUGGGGCUCAACCCCGAAACUGUGCUCAAAACUGUUUGGCUCGAGGUAGGUAGAGGUGCAUGGAAUUUCUGGUGUAGGGGUGACAUCCGUAGAUAUCAGAAGGAACACCAAUGGCGAAGGCAGUGCACUGGGCCUUACCUGACGCUGAGAGACGAAAGCGUGGGGAGCGAACGGG
rnacentral:rRNA from 1 species